UACGAAGGAUUCGAGCGUUAUCCGGAUUUAUUGGGUUUAAAGGGUGCGUAGGUGGACUAAUAAGUCAGUGGUGAAAGCCCGGAGCUCAACUCCGGAACUGCCAUUGAUACUGUUAGUCUUGAGUACAGUUGAGGUGGGCGGAAUGUGUCAUGUAGCGGUGAAAUGCUUAGAUAUGACACAGAACACCGAUUGCGAAGGCAGCUCACUAAGCUGUAACUGACGCUGAGGCACGAAAGCGUGGGGAUCAAACAGG
rnacentral:rRNA from 1 species